rnacentral:rRNA from 1 species
AGAGUUUGAUCCCUGGCUCAGGAUGAACGCUGGCGGCGUGCUUAACACAUGCAAGUCGAACGAUGACUUCUGUGCUUGCACAGAAUGAUUAGUGGCGAACGGGUGAGUAACACGUGAGUAACCUGCCCUUAACUUCGGGAUAAGCCUGGGAAACCGGGUCUAAUACCGGAUACGACCACCUGGCGCAUGCCAUGGUGGUGGAAAGCUUUAUGCGGUUUUGGAUGGACUCGCGGCCUAUCAGCUUGUUGGUUGGGGUAAUGGCCCACCAAGGCGACGACGGGUAGCCGGCCUGAGAGGGUGACCGGCCACACUGGGACUGAGACACGGCCCAGACUCCUACGGGAGGCAGCAGUGGGGAAUAUUGCACAAUGGGCGAAAGCCUGAUGCAGCGACGCCGCGUGAGGGAUGACGGCCUUCGGGUUGUAAACCUCUUUCAGCAGGGAAGAAGCGAAAGUGA